GACGAACGCUGGCGGCGUGCCUAAUACAUGCAAGUCGAGCGCAGGAAGCCGUCUGAACCCUUCGGGGGGACGACGGUGGAAUGAGCGGCGGACGGGUGAGUAACACGUAAAGAACCUGCCCAUAGGUCUGGGAUAACCACGAGAAAUCGGGGCUAAUACCGGAUGUGUCAUCGGACCGCAUGGUCCGCUGAUGGAAGGCGCUUCGGCGUCGCCCAUGGAUGGCUUUGCGGUGCAUUAGCUAGUUGGUGGGGUAACGGCGCACCAAGGCGACGAUGCAUAGCCGACCUGGGAGGGUGAUCGGCCACACUGGGACUGAGACACGGCCCAGACUCCUACGGGAGGCAGCAGUAGGGAAUCUUCCACAAAGGACGAAAGUCUGAUGGAGCAACGCCGCGUGAACGAUGAAGGCUUUCGGGUCGUAAAGUUCUGUUGUAAGGGAAGAACAAGUGCCGCAGGCAAUGGCGGCACCUUGACGGUACCUUGCGAGAAAGCCACGGCUAACUACGUGCCAGCAGCCGCAGUAA
rnacentral:rRNA from 1 species